GUGCACAGAGAGCUUCAGUAGCCUGCGAAGCAGCCAUCUUCACUUCCACGGAGCAGGUGCUGCCUUGGGUGCUGGAAUGUGGAAAUGAGGAAGAUCCUGCCUGAGGAUUUCAUGACAGUGCUGCAAUUACAGACAUGAGCCACUGUGCCCAGCCUCACUUUUUUAAAAAAAUAAAAGGUUAUGAAGCAUCUCAACACAAGAUCUCCUUUGCUCAUCACAACCACCCAGUGAAGCAGGCAAGACAACAGAAACUCCCCACCUGUGAUAGAUGCGAGGCCUGAAGUCUCCCAGGUACCCACAACAGAUGCAACACACAGCAGUGACCAAUGAUGAAGGAUCUAAAACCUGAAAAGAGGCCAAAUGAUUCCUCAAAACCAUGCAGGUACUAAGUAGCAGAGCCGAUCUCAAACCCAGGUUCGUUUCCUUUUUACAGCUGCCCAAGUCAUGAGUUCAUAGGGCCUGGAUGGCUGUACCGGAUUGCUCUCCAGCUGGUCUCUCUGCAUCCAGAAAUUUCUACAACCUACUGGGAAGUAAACAGCAUGCUGGAGACCCUCAAAUACAUGUGAAAUGAAGG
rnacentral:lncRNA from 1 species